GUGUACCCGCGGCAAGACGGAAAGACCCCGUGAACCUUUACUAUAGCUUGACACUGAACAUUGAGCCUUGAUGUGUAGGAUAGGUGGGAGGCUUUGAAGUGUGGACGCCAGUCUGCAUGGAGCCGACUUGAAAUACCACCCUUUAAUGUUUGAUGUUCUAACGUUGGCCCGUAAUCCGGGUUGCGGACAGUGUCUGGUGGGUAGUUUGACUGGGGCGGUCUCCUCCUAAAGAGUAACGGAGGAGCACGAAGGU
rnacentral:rRNA from 1 species